GGCCAUACCACCCUGAUUGCGCCCUAUCUCGUCUGAUCUCGGAAGCUAAGCAGGGUCAGGCCUGCUUAGUACUUGGAUGGGAGAACUGCUUUGAAAGCUAAUUACC
rnacentral:rRNA from 1 species